rnacentral:rRNA from 1 species
AGAGAGAGACAUGCGCGCAUAUCAAUAAGCGGAGGAAAAGAAACUAACAAGGAUUCCCUUAGUAACGGCGAGUGAAGCGGGAAGAGCUCAAAUUUGAAAUCUUCAAGGUUCUACCUUGACGAAUUGUAGUUUAUAGAAGUGUUUUCUGUUAGUGGAGUGGCAAAAGUUCUUUGGAAUAGGACAUCAUAGAGGGUGAGAAUCCCGUAUUUGGUCAUUCCUCCUAGCGUUGUGAUACACUUUCAACGAGUCGGAUUGUUUGGGAAUGCAGUCCAAAAUGGGUGGUAAAUUUCAUCUAAAGCUAAAUAUUGGCGAGAGACCGAUAGCGAACAAGUACCGUGAGGGAAAGAUGAAAAGAACUUUGAAAAGAGAGUUAAACAGUACGUGAAAUUGUCAAAAGGGAAGCGUUUGACACCAGUGUUGUUUUUCCGAAAAUCAAUUACGAAUGUUUUAUUUUUGAGGAGUUAUGACUUCAUCGGCUUGCUCCUCUCUUUACUGAAACUUUCUUAAUGCACUUUUCGGUUAACAAGUCAACAUCAAUUUCUUUUGUUGUAAAAGGGUAUGAGGAAGGUGGCUUUCUUUUCGGAGAAAGUGUUUAUAGCCUUGUGCCUCUGCAAUCGGAGAGAUUGAGGUCUGCAGCGUAGAUCCUUCGGGGUUAGAUACAUUUGUGCUAAGUUAUAGCUUUCUCAUAGACAACUUGUUGACUAUGUUUAGUCUUGUAGCUUACUCGCUGACGCUAUUUUACCUACGCUUAGGAUGUUGAUAGUCACAGCGUGUAC